GACGAACGCUGGCGGCGUGCCUAACACAUGCAAGUCGAACGGGACUCAGCCCUUCGGGACUGAGUUUAGUGGCGAACGGGUGAGUAACGCGUGAGGAACCUGCCUUUCAGUGGGGGACAACAGUUGGAAACGACUGCUAAUACCGCAUAAUACUUUUGAGCGGCAUCGUUUGAAAGUCAAAGAUUUAUUGCUGAAAGAUGGCCUCGCGUCUGAUUAGCUGGUUGGUGAGGUAACGGCCCACCAAGGCGACGAUCAGUAGCCGGUCUGAGAGGAUGAACGGCCACAUUGGGACUGAGAUACGGCCCAGACUCCUACGGGAGGCAGCAGUGGGGAAUAUUGGGCAAUGGGGGAAACCCUGACCCAGCAACGCCGCGUGAAGGAAGAAGGCCUUCGGGUUGUAAAUUCUUUUACCAGGGACGAAAAAGAUGACGGUACCUGGAGAAAAAGC
rnacentral:rRNA from 1 species